AUAAAAAUUAACACUUUGCUGCAAAUUAUACUCUUACAAUCAAUGCUGCAUUUGUUCACUACUCCAAACAUAUUUUUUUCUGCCUAACCCUUCUCUCUCUACACAAAUCUUAUCAAUUUAAUAUAGUCAUUCACAAAAACAAAGAGCGGCCAUUUAAGAUUUUUCAUCAACUAAAAAGGUACUCUUUUGUGCCAGAGAACUUGAUCACAAUCAUGGAAAGAGUAAAAGAAAAUGAACUAGUGAGAAAGGAAGAGGAAGCAAACAACUCAUCGGCGUCGUUUUCUGCUCUUCGUGAGGACGUUGUCAAUGUUCUGGAUUUCAUGGAGAGGUUAAAGAACGAAGAGGAUCGAAAAGCUGUUGAUGUGGAUCUUAUUGAAAAGCUGAAAUUAUUGCUGACAUUUAUUUGUACGUAUGUCCAGCUUUCUUAUUCCGAUUUGGAUCAGUUUGAAGAUAUAAUGACUGACAAAAGACAAGAGGUUGAGAAUCUGCUUCAGACAAUUUUGGAUGAUGUGGACAACACUGUCAGGUGUAAAUAUAACAUGCAUCAUGUCCUUCCUAGCCUUGCUGAUAAUAUGGAUGACUGUAUCAGCUCACAUCAUCGUUCUAAAUCAGAUGGCACCAUGACGGAGGAGCGAUUGAACUUCCUUCUCUUGAAUCUCCAUCAUCUAUCCAAGUAUCAUGCUGAAAAGAUUUUUCCGUUAGUGACUGAAUAUGGGAUUCUUCAGAACGUUUGUGCCAACAUAGGAGAUUUCCAUGGGUUGAUAGUGAAUGGUUGCAUUAAGCAUGAGAUUAUUGAGAAUGUCUUACCUCUGUUUCAACUGAUGGCCGAGAGUGUAGGACACUUCCUUUGGGAGGAUCAGACUGAUGGAGACUCUCAACUCUCCGAGCUAGAUGAGGAUGAUCAGACUGAUGGAGACUCUGAACUCUCUGAACUAUCUGAGGAUGAUCAGAUUGAUGGAGAUUUUCGACUCUUCAAGCUAGCACAUCUACUCAUGAAGAUUAUUCCAAUUGAACUGGAGGUGAUGCACAUAUGUUAUACAAAUUUGAAAGCUUCACCAUUAGUAGAAGUUGGACGCUUUAUUAAGCAACUCCUUGAAACCUCUCCGGAUGUUCUGAGAGAAUAUCUGAUUCAUCUACAAGAGCACAUGGUAACUGUUAUUACCGCAAGCACUUCAGGGGCUCGAAACGUUCAUGUCAUUAUAGAGUUCCUAUUGAUUAUAGUUACUGAUGUGCCCAAGGACUUUAUUCAUCAUGACAAAUUGUUUGAUCUUUUGGCACGUGUUGGAGCACUUGUCAGGGAGGUAUCAACUCUUGUUCACGACUUAAUAGAGAAAUCAAGGAAUGAAGAGAGAAUCGACCAAACAAUUUGUGCAACUCAAGAUUUGCUGGAAAAUAUUGAACUCUUCAAGGAAGAUCUCAAAAAUGAUUAUCUGAAAGCCCCGGACUCAUAUCAAUGUUGCUUCCCCAUGAAUGAUGGACCGCUGUUCAUGCAUCUUCUACUCAUCCACUUAAAUGGUCUGCUAGAUUCCAAUUCUUAUUCAAUUGCUUUGAUAAAGGAUGACAUUAGAAUGGUGAAAAAAGCCUUUGAAUUGAUAAGAUCGUUCUUCGUGAAUUUUGAGCAAGGAUUGUAUAAAGAUCUCUGGGCACAUAUUUUAGAUGUGGCUUAUGAGGCUAAAGAUGUCAUCGAUUCAAUUAUUGUUCGAGAUAAUGGUCUCUUACAUCUUAUUUUCUCACUUCCCAUUACGAUAAAAAAGAUCAAGCUUAUCCAAGAAGAAGUCUCCAAUAUAUCUGAGAAGAUUCCCAAGAACAGGAGCCUCACUGUAGUAAACUCUACUAAGAAGAUUGUUAAAAGCAAGUCACUGACAGUUGGUAAAAUAAUUGUAGGUUUUGAGGAGGAGACAAACUGGUUAAUUAGUAAUCUCACCAGUGGACUAAAAGAUCUAGAUGUCAUCUCAAUCACUGGUAUGCCGGGUUCGGGCAAAACUACUUUGGCAUACAAAGUAUACAAUGAUGAGUCCGUUUCUAGACGUUUCGACAUUCGUGCAUGGUGCACAGUUGGCCAAGAAUACGACAAAAUAAAUUUGUUGGAGAAAGUUUAUAAUCAAGUUACCGGCCCUGAUUCAAAAUUGAGUGAGAAUAUUGAUGUUGCUGAUGAGCUAAGGAGACAUCUGCUUGGAAAGAGGUAUCUUAUUGUCUUAGAUGACUUGUGGGAUACUGAUGCAUGGGAUAAGUUAACAAGACCUUUUCCUCUAGUUGAGAAUGGAAGCAGAAUAAUUUUGACAUCUCGAGAUAUGGAAGUGGGUUUGUAUGGAAAGCGCAACACUGAUCCUCUUAACCUUCGUUUGCUAAGGCCAGAAGAAAGUUGGGAGUUAUUAGAGAAAAGGGCAUUUGGAAACAAGAGUUGCCCUGAUGAACUAUUGGAUGUUGGAAAAGAAAUCGCCCAAAAUUGUAAGGGACUUCCUUUGGUUGUUGAUCUGAUUGCUGGAGUCAUUGCAGGUAGGGAAAAGACAAAGUCUGUAUGGCUUGAAAUUCGAAAUAAUUUGAAUUCCUUUAUUUUGAAUAGUGAAGUUUAUGUGAUGAAAGUUAUGAAAUUAAGUUAUGACCAUUUACCUCUUCAACUAAAGCCAUGCUUUCUCUACCUUGCGAGGUAUCCGAAGGACAAUGCAGUGGAUAGAGAUUGGUUGAAAAUGUUUUGGUGUGCUGAAGGGCUUGUUGAACAGACAGAGCUGAAGAGUUUGGAAGAAGUGAUGGAAAUUUAUUUGGAUAAUUUAAUUUCCAGUAGCUUGGUAAUUGCUUUCAAUGAGAUAGAUCCUGAGAACAUUGAAAAGAAGGGAAGGAUGAGUUACUUUGGAACAAUCAUGGAAAGAGGAAAAGAGAAUGAAGGAGACCGAGUGAAGGAGGAAACAAACAACUCAUCGGUCAUUUCCAAAUCUGUCAGAUAACUGAAUGGAAAAUGCCAGCCAACACAGCAAGAGCAAAUCCAGUAGUAAUCAUGAAAACGGAGGCGGAACCAAUCAAGAUACAGGAAACCAAUCAAGUAGGGGAAAACGGAAGUGCGACGUAUAGAGUAAAAAUGGAGGAAGGUUCGGACAGGGCUGAAGAACCUGUUGCUCAGAAUUAUUCAACUGUGGCUAGAUCAGCGAGGAUAUAUCAGUCUGGCAUCUUCCGAAAUAAUCCUAGAGGAAUCCACUAUUUGUUUUACGUUGAGCAAUAGUAAUUUCCAAUACCAUUUUGUGUAGUGGCUGCUCCACUAGACCUUUCGGUGAGGCAAGCAGCCAAGAAGAGUGCAACUUCCACAAUGACCACGUGCAACUCAAGCUGAUGGGCCACUGCUAUGCCUUGCACUGCGAGCUUGCUGCCACCGAACGCCGGCGACUUCAACUGUAAGUCUCUCUUUGAUACAUACAUGGAGUUGCCGACUCUCUGCUAUUGGGAAGGUAAGAAGUGAAACAGAAGGUCGGCAACCUCUCUACUAUAUGAAAGUUACCCUAUAUCUCAAGUUUUCUCUAGUUUUUGUAAAUCUUUCUAGUACUGAAGUUGUGAUUUUAGUUAUUGUGGACGUUUUAUCGCAGGAUGCGUUGGGGUAGGCGACGGGACCUGAUGAGAUACCUGUGGAUUUUUGGAAGUUCUUUAGUAAGGCUGGCUUAAGGUGGUUGACUGUAUUAUUUAACGGCAUUUUCAAGUCGGCGAAAAUGCCCGAGGCUUGUUGAUGGAGUACUAUGAUCCCUCUUUAUAAGAAUAAGAGUGACAUUCAGAGUUGCAAUAACUAUAGAGGUAUUAAGUUAUUGAGCCACACUAUGAAGAUUUGGGAGAGUGGUCGAGUUGAGGUUGAGGAGGAUAGUGUCUAUCUCGGAAAGUUAGUUUGGAUUUAUGCUCGGGCGCUCGACGACGGAGGCAAUUCACCUGGUGCGGAGACUGGUGGAACAGUAUAGGGAAAGGAAGAGAGAUCUGCAUAUGGUGUUUAUCGACUUGGAGAAGACUUACGACAAAGUCCCUAGGGAGGUGCUUUGAAGAUGCUUGAAGGUGAGUGGAGUACCGAUGGCGUAUAUUAGAGCAAUCAAGGACAUGUAUAAUGGAGCUAAGACUCAGAUGAGGACGGCGAGAGGAGACUCAGAGCAUUUCCCUGUCUUGACGGGGUUGCACCAGGUUCCACUCUUAGCGCCUUUUUGUUUGCUUUGGUGAUGGAUGUGUUGACGCGGCGUAUUCAAGGAGAGGUGCCUUGGUGUAUGCUUUUUGCAGAUGAUGUAGUUUUGAUUGAUGAGACGCGUGGUGGGGGGAGGUGAAUGAUAAAUUAGAGGUGUGAAGACAGACCCUUGAAUCUAAAGGGUUCAGGUUGAGCAAGAGCAAGACAGAAUAUUUGGAAUGCAAGUUUAAUGAUGUGAGGUAGGAAGACGAGGUGGUAGUGAGGUUGGAUUCCCAGACGGUGUGUAAGAGGGAUAGUUUCAAGUAUCUGGGGUCCAUGAUUCGGGGAAUGGUGAGAUUGACGAGGAUGUCUCCCACCGUAUUGGGGCGGGAUGAAUGAAGUGGAAGCUCGCCUCGGGGGUGUUGUGUGAUAGGAAGGUGCCGCCCAAGCUUAAAGGCAAAUUCUACAGGAUGACAGUCCGUCCGGCCAUGUUGUAUGGAGCGGAAUGUUGGCCAGUCAAGAACUCUCACAUUCAAAAAUUGAAGGUGGCGGAAAUGCGGAUGUUGCGUUGGAUUUGUGGGCUUAAUAGGGGUGAUAGAGUUCGAAAUGAGACUAUUCAGGAAAAGCUUGGAGUGGCUUCGGUGGAGGACAAGAUGCGGGAAGUUCGAUUGAGAUGGUUCGGGCAUGUGAUGAGGAGGGGCACGAAUGCCCCGAUUCGUAGGUGUGAGAAGCUUGCUUUGGAUGGUUUCAGGCGGGGUAGGGAUAGGCCGAAGAAAUAUUGGAGAGAGGUGAUCAGGCGGGACAUGGAGCAGUUACAGCUCACUGAGGACAUGACCCUAGAUAGUAAGAUCUAGAGGACGCGGAUUAGGAUAGAAGGCUAGUGCCAGUUUGAGUCGUUGGGGUAGGACAUUACUUGGUAAAUGUAUUAUUCUUGCUAGGACACUUUGUUGCAUGAGUUAUUACAAAUGUGUUUACUAUUCCUCGUGGGUGGCGUAUUUAUGUCUUGAUAUCUUGUUCCAUGCUUUAUUAAGUAUUUGUUUAUUAUUCCUUGUUUUGAGCCAGGGGUCUAUCGAAAACAACCUUUCUACUUCUCCUGAAGUAGUGGUAUGGACUGCGUACGUCUUACCCCCCAGACCCCACUAUGUGGGAAUAGACUGGGUUUGUUGUUGUUGUUUCAAGUACUGAAGUCAUUGGGAAAUUCGAAUGCAAUAGUAAGUGGGAUCUCUGCCUGCAAGGACUUAUAAUUGUCAUGCAGGCUGGUGGAAUCAACCAUCGAUAAGCAUUUGGUGUUUAAUUAUCAAAAUGUUUAAAUAGGUGUUGCUGUACAACAUUUGGCCUAUUAAUACCUUGAUUGAUGGGAAUUGAAAGAGUCUAGAGUAAUGAGGUGGCACCUUUAAGUCCAUUGACAAACUCGAAAAAAUAACUAAUGAGGUGAAGCUUGAACAGUCACCAGGUGCAACUUCACCUGUAAUGCAGACAACUUCAAAUCCUCCAGCAUCUAUAUCUACCAUGGUGGCUGCCAGUGCUGAGCAGCUAGUUGACGCACACGUGAUGAAAGAAAAAGAAGUGCAGGUGGAUGAAUUCGCCUGAAAAUGCUGCUGUAGUUAAGGGCGGUUCGGACAGGGAUGAAGAAUCUGUUGUUCGAAAUUGUUCAAGUGUGGCUAGAGCCGCGUGGAUAUCAUCCGAACAUCUGCCUAAAUCAUCCAAGAGGAGCCCACUAUCCGUUUUACAUCAAGCAAUACUGGUGGAGUAACUCCCGAUAUAAUAGUAAAAGCAGGAUGUGUGGGUGUAUGCGUCUUAAGAGAUUUGAUAUUUCUCCAAGAGACCUUACUGUGAGGCAAGUUUCCAAGAAGAGUACAACUUCCACAAGAUCCAUUAGUGUCAAAGUCAAGGUUGGGUUGAUAUUUAACUUCUCUGCAAGUUCAAAUAGGUGCUGCUAUGCAGCAUUUGGCUUCAUGUGCCUAUUAAUACAUCAAUGCUGGAUAUGAAUUGGAGCAAGAAAAAUGCAGCCUUUGAGUCCAUAGAUGAGCUUUGUUAGACAAACGU